CUCGUAGGCGGUUCGUCGCGUCCGGUGUGAAAGUCCAUCGCUUAACGGUGGAUCCGCGCCGGGUACGGGCGGGCUUGAGUGCGGUAGGGGAGACUGGAAUUCCCGGUGUAACGGUGGAAUGUGUAGAUAUCGGGAAGAACACCAAUGGCGAAGGCAGGUCUCUGGGCCGUUAUGACGCUGAGGAGCGAAAGCGUGGGGAGCGAACA
rnacentral:rRNA from 1 species